AUCUUCUGAUGACACGACAAACACUAGCAUUACCUGCAGCCCUUGGCUUCCUCUCUUCCAGAAUCCUCAUUAUUAAUUCCAUCCUGAUGAAUGAGAGCACACCCAGACAUGCUUCAGCUCAGAUUGUAUAAAAAGAGAAAAAGGUGCUCUACUGAGGAUUUAGAAAUCCAAAAAGAAACAUCUUACCCCAGGACCCUUCACAGGAUCACUAUCCCAGAAAACUGGUUGGUUAAUGAGUUGAGGUCAAGGAUCACAGCAGGCAGGCCUACUUCUAUCCCUGCUCAACCCCGCUUUAUCUCGGCCUCGGAGGAGACUUGGAUCCCGAGGCAGAGGAUGGUGUGCAAGGAGGGUAGAGUGGAGACAGGCGUCUCUUGAGUUGGAUGUGACCUGAUGCGACGUGCACUUGCGUCUGCCUCCAUGGAAGAUCAUUUUUCCACAUCAAGAGCGGUCAAUGUUAACCUUAUUGUUUUGUUUUUCUUCUUUUGUCAGUGGGUUUUGAGAUUAUUUUUGCAAUGACAAGCACUAUAAAAAAUUCUAGAUCA